CUGAGCCGGAGUCAGAUGCUUGACCGACUGAGCCACCCAGGUGCCCCGAAAUAUGGAUAUUUUUAAAAGAAAAGAUUUAUCAUGAAUUCAUACUUAUUCAUAUUGGUAUUUCCAAUUCUACAUUAUUAACUAGAUAAUAUAUAAAUAUUAUCUAUAUAUUAUAUUGAUAAUAUGUAAAUAUUAUCAAUAUAAAUGUAUAUUGAAUUAAUAUAUUCUAUCUUGUUUCUAUUUCUUUCUCCCAUGCUGAAAAUCCUAGUUUCCCCAAACUCUAUACAAUCACAUGCUGUAUUCUCCUACAAUUUUAGCCAAGAUUGAGAAGACCGGACGGAAGAUCCGCUGAAAAAAGAAAGCCAGCAAGAAAGGGAUGCAAACCAAAAAUCUAAGUGACGGAAGAGAGAAUACUCUGCUUUAAGGAAGGACAUGCACUGGUGGAAAAUCUCAACAAUGGGGGUGGGGUGGGGGAGGGGAGGGAACCUUCGUGCAAGCCGUGAUGCAGGCACUUUGAUCUCUUAAAGCUGGGAUUUCUGUUAAACUAAAUUUGUAUACAAAGUGGAUUAUUCUGCAUAUCAUUUUAAUAAGAAUAUGAAAACCUAGCAACAUGUAAUGUUUUCAUGGGAGACUUGAGGCUCUGUCUUCCUAAAAUACAUUUAUUGGUAUUCGUGAUGCAAUAUGUAAAUAUCAUAAAAAUAAAUAUCCACAGUCUCAUCCA